rnacentral:rRNA from 1 species
GACGAACGCUGGCGGCGUGCUUAACACAUGCAAGUCACGGGGGCCCGCAAGGGUAACCGGCGCACGGGUGCGUAACACGUGAGCAAUCUGCCGUCCACUGGGGGAUAGCCGGCCCAACGGCCGGGUAAUACCGCAUACGCUUGCCGGGUGGCAUCACUUGGCAAGGAAACCUCCGGGGGUGGACGAGGAGCUCGCGGCCUAUCAGCUCGUUGGUGGGGUCACGUCCCACCAUGGCGAUGACGGGUAGCUGGUCUGAGAGGAUGGCCAGCCACAUUGGCACUGAGAUUCGGCCCAGACACAUACGGGAGGCAGCAGUGGGGAAGAGUGCGCAAUGGCCGCGAGGCUGACGCAGAGACGCCGCGUGGGAGAUGAAGCAGUGCGGUGUGGAAACCCCUGUUGCCCGGGACGAACCUCCCCGUUCGAGGGGACUGACGGUACCGGGUGAGGAAGCACCGGCUAACUCCGUG